AUGGAUUUCCCAUCAUUCGGCGGAGAAAAUCCACAAUUGUGGAAAACUAGGUGUGAGAAAUAUUUUGAUGUGUACGGGGUCGUUUCGGAGCUAUGGGUUCGGGUAGCCACUCUCAAUUUCAUCGGGAACGCAGCUCGAUGGCUGCAACUCCACGAAUCACAUAGUAACUCCUUCACUUGGGAGUCGCUUUGCUCCUCCUUGUGUUCCAAAUUUGGUAGAGAGCAAUAUCAAGCACAUCUUCGGCAGUUCAAUUCUCUAAGACAAACGGGUACUGUAGGGGAUUACAUGCUCCGAUUCGAAGAAUUGUUGCAUCACAUCCUAGCUCAUAAUCCAGCUUUUGAUUCGGUGUAUUUUAUUACACAAUUCCUCGAUGGGUUGAAGGGGGAAAUCCGUUCAGUUGUUAUGUUACAUCAACCAAAAGAUCUGGAUUCUGCCUUUUCCUUGGCUACAUUGCAGGAGGAACUGAUGGAGGCCAUGCCAUGUCGCGAGUACAGGCGACAGGACGCCGCCAACCAGCGCGCCCCAGCACCGCACCCCCUCUUGGUGAUCGGUGCACACGUGGCGCGCCAAAUGCUGCCUGGGUCGCCGACAGCAGCUAAAGACCGCAGAGCCCUCGACGCGGCACACCAACCUGACUAUCACAAUCCAGGGCGAGGAGACGAUCGGGUGGCCUCCCUCCGCAACUAUCGCAGAGCCAGAGGGUUGUGCUUCAAGUGCGGAGAAAGAUGGGGACAAGGGCAUCAGUGCGGGCCAACAGUCCAACUCCAUCUGGUGGAAGAAUUGUUAGAACUACUACAGGCAUAG
rnacentral:rRNA from 1 species